UUAUUUCAUCUUUUUCUUUCACUACACAAAAUUUUUGAAAUUGCAUGCAUAGCACUACCUAUGUUUCCUUCACAAUCGGCUACUAUCCAGAGAAAACCAAAUGAAAAUUUAAGGAUGGAAGAGAAGGCCAUAGUAGAGAGGAAGUGAAGAAGGAGGAAAUGACCAAUAGUGGUGUCAGAGGAGGAAGGGGAGAGGAGGAGGUUGAGGAAGGGGAGGGAG
rnacentral:lncRNA from 1 species